rnacentral:rRNA from 1 species
AACGAACGCUGGCGGCAGGCUUAACACAUGCAAGUCGAGCGAGACCUUCGGGUCUAGCGGCGGACGGGUGAGUAACGCGUGGGAACGUGCCCUUCUCUACGGAAUAGCCCCGGGAAACUGGUAGUAAUACCGUAUACGCCCUUUGGGGGAAAGAUUUAUCGGAGAAGGAUCGGCCCGCGUUGGAUUAGGUAGUUGGUGGGGUAAUGGCCCACCAAGCCGUCGAUCCAUAGCUGGUUUGAGAGGAUGAUCAGCCACACUGGGACUGAGACACGGCCCAGACUCCUACGGGAGGGAGCAGUGGGGAAUCUUAGACAAGGGGGGCAAGCCUGAACGAGCCAUGCCGCGUGAGUGAUGAAGGCCUUAGGGUUGUAAAGCUCUUUCAGCUGGGAAGAUAAUGACGGUACCAGAAGAAGAAGCCCCGGCUAACUCCGUG